UACGUAGGGUCCAAGCGUUAUCCGGAAUCACUGGGCGUAAAGCGUGCGUAGGCGGAUUGUUAAGUGCGGUGCGAAAUCCUGUGGCUCAACCAUAUGGACUGUAUCGCAUACUGGCAAUCUAGAGGACAUGAGAGGCAAGUGGAAUUACUGGUGUAGCAGUGAAAUGCGUAGAGAUCAGUAGGAACACCAAUGGCGAAGGCAGCUUGCUGGCAUGUAUCUGACGCUAAGGCACGAAAGCGUGGGGAGCGAACAGG
rnacentral:rRNA from 1 species